rnacentral:tRNA from 1 species
GGCCGGUUAGCUCAGUGGUUUGAGCGCAGUGCUGACAACAAUAACUAACACCGAGGUCGUAGGUUUGAUUCCUGCUCCGUCCC